CAAUACAGUGGCCAUUUUACCGAUUACAUAAGGUACAAUAAUUUACAACUUAUUUUAUGUGUGAUUUUUCCAUCUUCAGGAGGUCAUUCAUGUACAAGCUUGCGAAUUAUCAACAAUAAUCAUCUGGUGAAACUGGGUAGACUAAAUACACUGUGACUAACUAUUUGGCCAAGUGUUUUGCCAGCACAAUUGAACCCUAACAGGCCACCUAUUUGACUUUCUGAAAAAUACACCUUUGAUCUACUUUCCGUGAAUGUUGCAACUCCCACAAACCAUACAAUACAACACUGCAGAG